rnacentral:rRNA from 1 species
UACGUAGGGGGCAAGCGUUGUCCGGAUUUAUUGGGCGUAAAGAGCGUGUAGGCGGCCAUACAGGUCCGUUGUGAAAACUCGAGGCUUAACCUCGAGACGUCGAUGGAAACCGUAUGGCUAGAGUCCGGAAGAGGAGAGUGGAAUUCCUGGUGUAGCGGUGAAAUGCGCAGAUAUCAGGAAGAACACCUGUGGCGAAGGCGGCUCUCUGGGACGGUACUGACGCUGAGACGCGAAAGCGUGGGGAGCGAACAGG